GGGUGAGUAACGCGUGGGUAAUCUACCUUCGAAUUGGGGAUAACGUUGCGAAAGCGACGCUAAUACCGAAUAACAUCCAUUAAUCUUCGGGUUUUUGGAUCAAGGGUGGCCUCUACAUGUAAGCUACUGUUUGAAGAUGAGCCCGCGUACCAUUAGCUUGUUGGUGGGGUAAUGGCCUACCAAGGCUUCGAUGGUUAGCUGGUCUGAGAGGAUGAUCAGCCACACUGGAACUGACACACGGUCCAGACUCCUACGGGAGGCAGCAGUGAGGAAUUUUGCGCAAUGGGGGAAACCCUGACGCAGCAACGCCGCGUGAGUGAUGAAGGCUUUCGGGUCGUAAAGCUCUGUCAAGUGGGAAGAACCUGCAGUAUGCUAAUAUCAUAUUGCACUGACGGUACCACUGAAGGAAGCACCGGCUAACUCCGUGCCAGCAGCCGCGGUAAUACGGGGGGUGCAAGCGUUAUUCGGAAUCAUUGGGCGUAAAGAGCACGUAGGCGGCCUGGUAAGUCAGAUGUGAAAGCCCGGGGCUUAACCCCGGAAGUGCAUUUGAUACUGUCAGGCUUGAGUAUGGGAGAGGGAAGUGGAAUUCCUGGUGUAGAGGUGAAAUUCGUAGAUAUCAGGAGGAACACCGGUGGCGAAGGCGACUUCCUGGACCAAUACUGACGCUGAGGUGCGAAGGCGUGGGUAGCAAACAGGAUUAGAUACCCUGGUAGUCCACGCAGUAAACGUUGUUCACUAGGUGUAGCGGGUAUUGACCCCUGCUGUGCCGCAGU
rnacentral:rRNA from 1 species